rnacentral:tRNA from 3 species
GUCGGGAUAGCUCAGCUGGUGAGCAGAGG